rnacentral:rRNA from 1 species
AGAGCGAACGCUGGCGGCAGGCUUAACACAUGCAAGUCGAGCGCCCCGCAAGGGGAGCGGCAGACGGGAGAGUAACACGUGGGAACGUACCUUUCGGUUCGGAACAACCCAGGGAAACUUGGGCUAAUACCGGAUACGGCCGAGAGGCGAAAGAUUUAUCGCCGGAGGAUUGGCCCGCGUUCGAUUAGCUAGUUGGUGAGGUAACGGCUCACCAAGGCGAUGAUCGAUAGCUGGUCUGAGAGGAUGAUCAGCCACAUUGGGACUGAGACACGGCCCAAACUCCUACGGGAGGCAGCAGUGGGGAAUAUUGGACAAUGGGCGCAAGCCUGAUCCAGCCAUGCCGCGUGAGUGAUGACGGCCUUAGGGUUGUAAAGCUCUUUCGCUCGGGACGAUAAUGACGGUACCGAGAUAAGAAGCCCCGGCUAACUUCGUGCCAGCAGCCGC